GGGAUCUUCGUAUAAUGGUAAUACAUGUGACUUUUAAUCAUUAAAUUGUCAGUUCGAAUCUGGCAGAUCCUA
rnacentral:tRNA from 1 species